AAAUCUCUAAAGCUGACAGUCUAAUGGCAGAGGUAAAACCUACCACAGAAUAAGAUCAUUACUCAGGUCAAUAUUCCUUGGGGUCAGAGAUGGAAUCCAAAGGCAAUGACUGCUGAAGGACUGUCACCCUUGGAAUUCAGCCAGGUGCUUGAACUGAACCCCUUGUACUCAUAAUUUCCAUGAGUUACUGAUGGCUUCCAGUUUGGUGGUGCUACAGAGCCUGCUGUCCAGGACAAAUGGCAGUGGGCUGGGGAGCCCAGGAGCCUCAGGUGACUGGACAAGAAGGAAAGAAACAGGCAGACACAAGUAAGUAACAU